CCUACGCGAGACAGCAGUGAGGAAUAUUGGUCAAUGGGCGCAAGCCUGAACCAGCCAAGUCGCGUGAGGGAAGACGGCCCUACGGGUUGUAAACCUCUUUUGCCGGGGAGCAAGCCUGAGCACGUGUGCCCAGGCGGAGAGUACCCGGAGAAAAAGCAUCGGCUAACUCCGUGCCAGCAGCCGCGGUAAUACGGAGGAUGCGAGCGUUAUCCGUAUUUAUUGGGUUUAAAGGGUGCGCAGGCGGGCGGUUAAGCCGGCGUUAAAAAUUCAGGGCUCAAACCUGUCGAGCCGUCGGAACUGGCAGCCUUGAGUGGGCGAGAAGUAUGCGGAAUGCGUGGUGUAGCGGUGAAAUGCAUAGAUAUCACGCAGAACGCCGAUUGCGAAGGCAGCAUACCGGCGCCCGACUGACGCUGAGGCACGAAAGCGUGGGGAUCGAACAGGAUUAGAUACCCGUGUAGUC
rnacentral:rRNA from 1 species